rnacentral:rRNA from 1 species
GCAAGUCGAACGCUAUUUAUAGAGUGGCGCACGGGUGAGUAACGCGUGGGAACCUGCCUUUCUCUGCGGGAUAACGGUUGGAAACGACCGCUAAUACCGCAUACGCCCUACGGGGGAAAGGUCCGCCGGAGAAAGAGGGGCCCGCGUCUGAUUAGCUUGUUGGUAGGGUAAUGGCCUACCAAGGCGACGAUGCAUAGCCGACCUGAGAGGGAGACC